rnacentral:rRNA from 1 species
UACGGAGGGUGCGAGCGUUGUCCGGAAUCAUUGGGCGUAAAGGGCGCGUAGGUGGCCCCUCAAGCGUGCGGUGAAAGUCAGGGGCUCAACCCCUGAUCGGCCGUGCGAACUGGGGAGCUUGAGCACUGUAGAGGCAGGUGGAAUUCCGGGUGUAGCGGUGGAAUGCGUAGAGAUCCGGAAGAACACCGGUGGCGAAGGCGGCCUGCUGGGCAGUGGCUGACGCUGAGGCGCGACAGCGUGGGGAGCAAACAGG